rnacentral:rRNA from 1 species
CCUACGGGAGGCAGCAGUGAGGAAUAUUGGUCAAUGGGCUUACGCCUGAACCAGCCAAGUCGCGUGAGGGAAGACUGCCCUAUGGGUUGUAAACCUCUUUUGUCAGGGAGCAACGCCGGCUACGUGUAGCCGGACUGAGAGUACCUGAAGAAAAAGCAUCGGCUAACUCCGUGCCAGCAGCCGCGGUAAUACGGAGGAUCCGAGCGUUAUCCGGAUUUAUUGGGUUUAAAGGGAGCGUAGAUGGGUUGUUAAGUCAGUUGUGAAAGUUUGCGGCUCAACCGUAAAAUUGCAAUUGAUACUGGCAGUCUUGAGUACAGUUGAGGUAGGCGGAAUUCGUGGUGUAGCGGUGAAAUGCUUAGAUAUCACGAAGAACGCCGAUUGCGAAGGCAGCAUACCGGCGCUCAACUGACGCUGAGGCACGAAAGCGUGGGGAUCGAACAGGAUUAGAUACCCUUGUAGUC